AGCACUGGGCGGUCUUCCGUCCAACCUCUACAUAGCUAGUAGUUCAGUGAUGCAAACGAACUGGCUGUAAGCGUACGAGUGAUGCGCGUUUGGAGCAAUACUGGCUGCUGUGUCCAGGGGUCAGACAGUCGUUCACAUGACAACAGAAGAUAACCAAUUUACUCGUUACAGCAGCGCGUCCCCUGAACGAUAACGAAGAGGAAACGUUAGGAGAGAAGCCUGACACCGGAGGCACCGACAGUUUCAAGUUGGAUAUUAAUAAGUGUCAUUAUCUGUCUUUACGUCGGUCACGGACUCGAGGGUGAGAAGGUGGAGUUGAUAGUGUGUCUAUCAGAGGAGGACAGGAAUCAGAGGGAGGUGGAGAAGGAGGUGCAGGAGAAGAGCCAGGAGAUAGCUUGGAUAGAAGUGGAGCUCCACAGGCUGAGAGAUGCCAGCCCUGGGAGGGGUCCUGAACAUGGAGGGUUCCCAGCCCUGUUGGACAGAGAAGCAACUCGAUCUGAGACAGAUUGAAAAUGGAAUUUAUAUGUUUAAAUGAAUGAUUAGAAUAUUCCACCCUGAAAACAUUUAAUAACUGUACAAUAUGUCUUUAUAGUAUCUGAAACACAGACUGUCAGAGCAAAAUUCGGUGCCGACCUGACUAGAGAUUUGGGUGAGGACAGGGAGUACUUCUCAAGGUCUCCCUAAUCUUUGUCGGCUGGGUAGUGAUACAGUAUGUGCCUAGGAUACAUACUGUUUGUGUGUGGAAGUAUGUGCGCAGCUAUAGAAUUGAUGUUUUUGUAUUCUUGACUUUAGAACGUUCUCUGAAUAAACGGUACUAGCCUUUUGCAUAA